GACGAACGCUGGCGGCGUGCCUAACACAUGCAAGUCCACGAGAAAGCGGUAGCAAUACUGCCGGUAAAGUGGCGAACGGGUGAGUAACACGUAGGUAACUUGCCCUUGGGACUGGAAUAACCUCGAGAAAUCGGGGCUAAUACCGGAUAAUGCAGCGGACCCGCAUGGGUAUGUUGUUAAAGUGGUCUUGGCUUGCCAAGUUCACACCUAAGGAUGGACCUGCGUCCCAUUAGCUAGUUGGGAGGUAACGGCUCACCAAGGCGACGAUGGGUAGCCGGCCUGAGAGGGUGUCCGGCCACACUGGGACUGAGAUACGGCCCAGACUCCUACGGGAGGCAGCAGUGAGGAAUAUUGGACAAUGGGGGAAACCCUGAUCCAGCGACGCCGCGUGUGUGAAGAAGGCCUGCGGGUUGUAAAGCACUUUCGGUGGGAACGAAAUAUGCCGGGCUAAUACCCCGGUAGGCUGACGUUACUCAAUGAAGAAGCACCGGCUAACUCUGUGCC
rnacentral:rRNA from 1 species